AGAUUUAGUUUGUCCAUAUUUGUAAAAAACCCACUAGGAUUUUAAUAAGAAUUAUAUUAAACCUGUAAAUCAAUUUGAGAAUUAUCAUAAUUACCCUCCAAGUGCCCACACUCUCUGUUUUCCCCUUUUUACUAAGGAUGAAUGAUCUCAUCCAAGGCCUGUGGUCCUCUGGUUUCUAUCCCAUAUCACCUGUAACUAUCUCCUCUCCUUUCCUCACUAUCAGUUUCUCUCCAACUCCUGGAUCAUUUGCAUGAGCAUCCAAACAAGCUCUAGCAUAUACUAUUAAACAAAUAUUCCUUCCUUAUUUCCACAUCAUCUUGCAGCUGCUGCUCCUCUGUGUUUCCCUUCAUGAAACUUCUUGAGUUUUUGUUUGUCACAGUCUCUACUUCCUCACUUCACAUUAUAUCCUCAACCCACUCUAAUUAGCCUUUGUUCUCACCUCUCCAUGGAGAAUAUGCUUGUCAAGGUCAGCAAUGACCCUUAUGUUGCCAAUCCAAUGGUCACUUCUUGGUUCUUAUUUUAGUUGUCACUGACUCUUCUUGGAACACUUUCUUCAUGUUACUUCAUGACAUCACACUCUAAUUUCCUUGUAACUCACUGGCUGCUCCAGAACACAUCUACUAAUUUAUCCUCCCACCAGCCAUGGCAUCAGGAUUGUGCUAGAUUAGUAAAAUAAACUUAGACUUUUUUUUAUUUGUUUCUAUCCUACAGAACAGUUUAAAUAGCAGAAAUAUUUUCAAUUCAUUGGAGAUUUAACACGCCUCUAAACUGCCUGGGCCAGCAUAUUUUUAAAGAGGUGAUUCUUAAUGUAAUCUAUUUAUUUCACUGCUAUUGACACUUGAGAUUUUUGUUUUCUUUUACCCAAUUUGUCCUUGCUUGUUGGAUAGUGACUUAAAACAUGGACUAUUGGCUUAGAAGUUUUUUAUGUUGAAGAGUUCUUUCUUUCCAUUCUAGUUUAUUCUAUUUUAGUUAGGCAUAGAGAAUUAUGUUGUUAAGGAGAAUGAGGAUGUUUGCAAUGUUCAUCAAUGACUGUCUCACACAGGCUUUGGGAUUAAGGGA
rnacentral:lncRNA from 1 species